rnacentral:misc_RNA from 1 species
UCUCCGUUGGUGAACCAGCGGAGGGAUCAUUACCGAGUUUACAACUCCCAAACCCAAUGUGAACCAUACCAAACUGUUGCCUCGGCGGGGUCACGCCCCGGGUGCGUCGCAGCCCCGGAACCAGGCGCCCGCCGGAGGGACCAACCAAACUCUUUCUGUAGUCCCCUCGCGGACGUUAUUUUUACAGCUCUGAGCAAAAAUUCAAAAUGAAUCAAAACUUUCAACAGCGGAUCUCUUGGUUCUG